GGAUCUGGAGUCAGAAAAUGAGCUUCUCCGCACUCAAAGAGUAGUUGUAGAGCAUGUAGCAAACUCAGACCAAGCAGAUUCAGCAUUAAAGCAAAUUGAAAACGGAUACCAAGUUCAUGAAGAUGUGAAGACAGAGGAAGUGCAACAAGUGACAAAAGUGGCGCAACAAAUAACAAAGGAUUCCUAUCCUCCCUUCUCUUUAACAAAACAAAGAUCACUGACAGAUAAGCAGGAGGCAAGUAGUAAAAACAUAUGAGAAGAAAGAAGAAAGUAGCACAAAAGAUAUCUAAGGUAAGCUGAAUUGGAGGAAGGGAAGCAAGACAGAAAAUGAGGGAUCAAGAUUCGGUCACUUCUCACACUUCCAUGGAGAACUGUUGUUACUCUACAACUUGAGAGUGGGAGGCCUUCCUCCUUUGUACAUAAUGUCUUGAAGAGGUUCUUAUUUGAAGAGACAGAUGAAUCAAUCAAAGGCUUGACUAAGCUGCCUAAUAGUGAAAAUGCCUAAUCUGCAGAAGGACAAUGGAAACACUGAUGAUGGAACAAGCUGCUUCCAUACUGCAAAUGUGUCCUGGGAACUUGUGUCUUUCCUGUUUAUACAUUUAGACUUAAGAGACUAAUAGAAAUGCCAUAUUUUGACUUGUUUUAAAUUUUCAAUUGUAUAUUGAUGAAUGAAUUAUCUUCAAGCAUAUGAAAUGUGUAUUUUAUGUUUUUCA